rnacentral:rRNA from 1 species
GAUGAACGCUGGCGGCGUGCCUAAUACGUGCAAGUCGAGCGAACGGACGAGAAGCUUGCUUCUCUGAUGUUAGCGGCGGACGGGUGAGUAACACGUGGAUAACCUACCUAUAAGACUGGGAUAACUUCGGGAAACCGGAGCUAAUACCGGAUAAUAUUUUGAACCGCAUGGUUCAAAAGUAAAAGACGGUCUUGCUGUCACUUAUAGAUGGAUCCGCGCUGCAUUAGCUAGUUGGUAAGGUAACGGCUUACCAAGGCAACGAUGCAUAGCCGACCUGAGAGGGUGAUCGGCCACACUGGAACUGAGACACGGUCCAGACUCCUACGGGAGGCAGCAGUAGGGAAUCUUCCGCAAUGGGCGAAAGCCUGACGGAGCAACGCCGCGUGAGUGAUGAAGGUCUUCGGAUCGUAAAACUCUGUUAUUAGGGAAGAACAUAUGUGUAAGUAACUGUGCACAUCUUGACGGUACCUAAUCAGAAAGCCACGGCUAACUACGUG